GACGAACGCUGGCGGCGUGCUUAACACAUGCAAGUCGAACGGAAAGGCCUGCUUUCCCUUGUGGAUUGCGGGUACUCGAGUGGCGAACGGGUGAGUAACACGUGAGUGAUCUGCCCCCAACUUGGGUAUAAGCCUGGGAAACUGGGUCUAAUUCCCGAUAGGACUGCAGGGUGGUGCCUGUGGUGGAAAACGAUUUUCUAGUGGUUGGGGAUGAGCUCGCGGCCUAUCAGCUUGUUGGUGGGGUAAUGGCCUACCAAGGCGGCGACGGGUAGCCGGCCUGGGAGGGUGGACGGCGACAUUGGGACUGGGAUACGGCCCAGACUCCUACGGGAGGCAGCAGUGGGGAAUAUUGCACAAUAGGCGGAAGCCUGAUGCAGCGACGCCGCGUGGGGGAUGACGGCCUUCGGGUUGUAAACUCCUUUCGACCGCGAGGAAGCCACCUGGUUGGAAGGGUGGUGACGGUAGUGGUAGAAGAAGCACCGGCUAACUACGUG
rnacentral:rRNA from 1 species